GUCUUCGUGGUGUAAUGGUUAGCACACUCGACUCGUAUUCCAGGGGCUCAGGUUCGAUUCCCGGCGAGAGCA
rnacentral:tRNA from 1 species